rnacentral:misc_RNA from 1 species
GGGUUAGGAAAAAGGAAAAAAAAUUUUAGGUUAGUCUUUAUUCUAUUAAGUAAUAAUAAGCAAUAAAAUAUACCUUUGAAAUUUUAAUUUUGAUCAAGUGGACAAAAUUGCAAAUAAUUUUUCAAAUAAGGUUAAAAUUGAAAAAAAAAAAAACAGAGAGAAUUGGACAAAAUUGCCAAUCUAUGUAGAAGUUUGGAUGUUAUGAUUACGAAUUGUAUGACCAAGUAGUGUACAUAGUUUGAAUUGCUUAUGAAAGGGAAAGCAAAUAUAUGGUUACAAAGUGGAGUGAACCAAUAUUUUUAGCACAAUAUAUGAUAAUACAAGUUCUAGCUUGUGCCAAUUUUGCUGCAUGCUCAUCUAGGAGAAAACAAUUGGAGAUAUAAUAUCAGGCAGCCCAAAUAUCUAUAUUUGGGACAUCAUUACAAGCAGGGAAAAAAACAGUUGAUUAGCGAUCUGGGGCCUGGCACAAGUGGUUAGGCAGUGGAGAUUAUAGGUUUGAGUUGCAGUGCUCUCCUCUUAUACACAAAAGAAAGGGAGUGUGGAGGGGAAGAGUUGAUCACAAAUUAUGUUCCUUUUAUCCUUGAAUUUGCCAACAAAUUUAUUCAUAUAAUUGUUUAAUGAAAAUUAUUGAUCUAUUCUUGUAAGCUGCUAAUAAUAUGCACACAACAAAGAAUUCUACUUCAUAUCACGUUGAAAACCUCACAAGUUAUUUGUCUUAACUGAUAGUAAUGGAAAUUGUGAAUGGCAGAUUCCUGUUAGGCCCUUCAGACACAAUGAAUAUG